rnacentral:misc_RNA from 1 species
ACCCGAAGCGGUGAGGUACCUUUAGGAGCAGCCGCCUAAGGUGGGAUAGAUGAUGGGGUGAAGUCGUAACAAGGUAGCCGUAUCGGAAGGUGCGGCUGGAUCACCUCCUUUCUAAGGAUAAGGAACACGUUGGUUAAGUCUUAUUUAGUUUUGAGAGGUCUUGCAAGACGCAGAGACAAACUGUGGGGCCUUAGCUCAGCUGGGAGAGCGCCUGCUUUGCACGCAGGAGGUCAGCGGUUCGAUCCCGCUAGGCUCCAUAGGAUACAGUUCAACUGAACUUAAUAGAAGUGAAGUUACAUUGUAUCUUAGUAUAGUCCAUUGAAAAUUGAAUAUCUAUAUCAAAUUCCACGAUCAUGAAAAUGAUUGUAGAAAAGUAACAAGAAAUAAACCGAAAAAAAGAUAAACGCGAACAUAUUAAAAAAAAUCAAGAAGGUCUAAGGACUGGAAAUAAGGUUAAGUUAAUAAGGGCGCACGGUGGAUGCCUUGGCACUAGAAGCCGAAGAAGGACGUGACUAACGACGAAAUGCUUUGGGGAGCUGUAAGUAAGCGCUGAUCCAGAGAUGUCCGAAUGGGGGAACCCGGCAU